GACAUUUUUAAAGCUGGAGAUACCAAUGAGGAUUCAAGAUUGGACUUUGGAGAAUUUUUGCAGUACCUUAAAGACCACCAGAAAAAAAUGAGGCUGGCAUUUAAUAGUCUGGACAAAAAUAGUGAUGGAAUAAUAGAAACUUCAGAAAUAAUUGCUGCUUUGAAAUCACUGGGUAUAAAUAUUUCUGAAGCUCAGGCAAAAAAAAUUCUACAAAGCAUUGGUAGUGAUGGAACGAUGACAGUAGACUGGGAUGAAUGGAAGUACUACUUUUUACUUCAUCCUGCAACAAAUAUUGAUGAAAUUGCUCAUUUCUGGAAGCAUUCUACUAUAAUUGACAUAGGGGAGAGUAUAUCUAUCCCAGAUGAAUUUACUGAAGAAGAAAAGCGUUCUGGAGAUUGGUGGAGGCGUUUGGUGGCAGGAGGUAUAGCUGGGGCAGUUGCAAGGACAUGCACAGCACCUUUUGACCACUUGAAAGUCAUGAUGCAGGUUCAUAGUUUAAAGUCAAGGAGAAUGAGAUUGAUUGGUGGAUUUGAGCAGAUGUUAAAAGAAGGAGGAAUUCAUUCUCUUCGGUGGGGAAAUGGUGUAAAUGUUUUUAAAAUUGCACCUGAGACAGCUCUCAAGAUUGGGGCCUAUGUACAGUGUAAGAAAUGGCUUAGUUUUGAUGGUGCUAAUGUAGGAAUUAUUGAGAGAUUUAUAUCUGGCUCAUUUGCUGGUGCAACUGCCCAGACCUGUAUUUAUCCCAUGGAGGUUCUAAAGACCAGACUGGCUCUAGGUAAAACUGGAGAGUAUUCAGGGUUCAUUGAUUGUGGCAAGAAGCUUCUGAAACAAGAAGGUGUUAGAACCUUUUUCAAAGGUUAUAUUCCUAACUUGCUAGGUAUUCUACCUUAUGCAGGCAUAGAUUUUGCUGUUUAUGAGCUGUUGAAGAAUUAUUGGCUAGAACAUCACGUGGCAGAGUCUAUAGACCCUGGGAUAAUAAUUUUGCUGGGAUGUAGUACAUUGUCUCACACGUGUGCUCAGAUAGCCACCUUCCCUCUGACCCUUAUUAGAACUUGCAUGCAGGUUCAAGCACUGGAAGAAAAAGGAACAACAACUUCUAUGAUUCAUCUCAUUCAAGAGAUAUUUAACAACGAAGGAAAAAGGGGAUUUUUCAGGGGUUCACACCAAACAUCAUAAAGGUGCUUCCCUCAGUAGGCAUCAGCUGUGGAGUUGAUGAAAUAGUGGGACAACAUUUGGGAUUAAUUUAAAAGUGAAAUAUCAAAUUGUUAUCAUUACCAAAAUCACUUAAUUGUAAGAUAAUACCUGGCUUGUAAAGAGAAAUUUGUCUUUUCCUAGAAGGAAAGACAUAUCAAAUAAUUGUUAAAACAUUUUUUCUUUACCUAUUACAAAAUUUAUAAGUU